rnacentral:rRNA from 1 species
AUGGCUAGUCCAUUCGGUGUCUUGGUUUGUCUACUCAUAGUGCUACCACAAAUCCUUGCUAUUUCUAGCCCCAUCGAUGAGAUUGCACCUCUUAAGACAUGUCAGUUCCCUUGUAUGAUCGAGGUUAACUUGCACUUGUUCUUGCACCAAUUCGUCGACGGGCCAAACAACCCAAACCGCAAUGAGGAAACCUUACUCCAAGCAAGUUUUCCUUUUGGGUUUGGGACGACGAUAGUCCAUGACUGGACUCUUACCGAGACAACAAAUUCCAGAGACACGGUUGUUGCACGUGUACAAGGUGUGCAUGUCCAGGCAUGUUUAACCAAGCCUAACAGAUGGUACACAACUCAUAACAUAGAGUUUCAGCAAGGAAGGCUUGCGGGGUCCACCCUUCAAGUGAUGGGUAUAACCGCAGGUUUGGAAAGUGGGCAGUGGUCUAUUGUCGGUGGAACUGGUCAAUUCAUUAUGGCACAGGGUAUAAUAAGUUUCACAAAUCAUCCAGCCUCUACUUUUGAAGAUGGUAUUAAAGAACUCAAUAUUCGUGUACGCUUCACAAGGGAUAUUACACAAGCCAGAAAUGGAUUGUACCAUACAUAUUAUCCUACUGAAAUUGCAUUACAUUAA